GUGAAUCAUCAAAUCUUUGAACGCAAAUUGCACUCUCUGCUAAGAGUAUGCGCGUUCCUGUGUCAGCCUAAAAAAAUUCGACGUCGUAGGUGUUUCGCGGUGACAUUCGUCGGAAAGUGGGUCAUCUUAAACCUAUGGGCUGUAAGCGGCUUAAAAUUUUCUUUACGAUUCUACGACCGUUUCUAAGAGU
rnacentral:misc_RNA from 1 species